AUAGGUAUAUAAUUCAGGAAAUAAAAAAUAUAUAUAUAUCUCAUUUCUGUAUUGAUUCUAAAAGCUUUUUUAUUUUUCAUAGACAAUAUAAGAUGAGAAAAAAUACAAAAAUCAAAUAUUUUGAUAAUAAAAACUACGUAGAUGGAUUGUAUUGUUAACUGCGUAUAUCAUCAAUAAUUCAGCAAUUCGCAUGUUCGCAACUUGCAGCCAGUGUUGCAGACCAUGAAUUAUUGUAUGUAGGAAGGCUACGGUCACCAGAAAAUAUACAAAAUAGGUGAAAAAACACAUCGUAUUUGUACCUAAUAAAAUGAUUAUUUUAAUUAUACACAUAUUUCCAAUGUA